CUUUUUCCCUUCCAAAAUCGAUCAUCGGUCUCGAAAUUGAACUCCCGGCCUCUCACUCCCCAACCCUCUCUCUCGCGCCCCAACCCUAGCGCCUCGCGCUAGCCGCCGCCGCCGCUCGCUCCCAGUGUCCGAGUCCGACCGCCGUGCCGCCUUAGGAGGUCGCACCUGCGCCGCCUCGGGGCAAUGGAGGCAUUCCCGCCCCGCGGCCUCGCUGCGCCGCCGCCGGACUAAACCCUAGCGGCGCCGUCUCCGCUCCCGCCCCCGCCAUGGCCGACCCGUCCGGCGUCUCCUCCUCACGCCGCGGCAGGAGGAGCAGCUGCAGCGGCUCAAGGGCCAGCGCCCAGCGCCCCUCGCCCCCCGCUGCUGUGGCGCUCACGCCCAGGGCCGCCAGGCAGAAGCUGCCGCCGCCGUCGGCGGCUGGGGCCGCGGAGCCGGCCGCCCCGCCUUCCAGAGGAGGCCGAGAGGCGGGCUGAUGCGCCGUCCAAGCCGUCCGUGUCGGCGCCCGUGGCCGAUGCGGGCGUGGCCCCGCCGCCGGCGCCGCCGAUGGAUGAGGCUGGGAAUCUGGAGAGGUUCCUCGGCUCCACGACGCCGUCCGUGCCCGUGCAGUACUUGCCCAAGUAGGAGCAUGGAACGUGCUUGCCAUGUAGUUCAUGAUGGAUUUACAGGAUUUCACCAUUGCUUCGGCAAAGAAUUGAAGAAUUUGAAAGUCUCAUAUUUGUUAGUGAGCUUGCAUCCUGGUGGCUUCCAUUGAACACUAGAUCAGCGGAGGCAAUCCAUGUGAAGGAUAUUGAACAAUCAAAUUUGCAGGAGAAAAAUCAGAGCUGAGUUAUGCUUUCGAAUGGAGAUAAUAUCCACAAGGAACUAGCAAACACACAAGGAGGCCAAUCAUGGUUUACAUGCAUGAUAAAGAAGCUGGUGGUUUAAUAGCACUACCUGAAUAUGGCCAAUAGUGUGGGACAGAAGAUCCCAUCAAAUUUCUUUAUCAUGGUUACGACCAUUAUGAAGCUCUGCAGAUACCGGGAAAGGGCGGUCCAAGGUCAAGAUUGUAACAUUUGCAACUCAGCUUUUCAAAUGAGGUUGGCUUCGAACUUCGACUUCCUCCAACUGAAGAUAUGGGACUGUAUUAGCCUAUCAUGUCCUAAACUCCCGUGUAUGAUUUGGUUUGAUGAUUCUUGUAAAAACUCCAGUUAUGGCUAAUCGUGGGUGUUGUCGAUCAUGGUCCGUGUGUUUCUUAUAGAAAGGGACUAGAUUGAUUGACUUACAUUGCAGUUUUGUUUGUCGUAUAGCUUUUAACACAUUUCUAGGUGGUGACGGUUGGAUAUUUGGAACCUGCAUUUCUUUCGUAAUCUGCAAUUUAUCCGUGGUGUGGUGUUUAGCACGGGCACCUUACUAGUGUCUAUAAAGCCCACCAGAAAUUAAUGAAGCCCACAAUCCGUCAUGGCCCAGCAACCGCAAUAGCGCCUACCGCCGGUGGCUUGCGCUGUGCGCUCUGCAUGCAGGCAGGACAGGGGGAGAGCAGCCGGCCAACGACAUAGUCACCAACAUGCAAGUGCGUUUUCAUUUCUUUUCCCUCAAAUAUGUGUAUCAAUUUCAUUAUAUUUAUUAAGGUUUUUGUGGCC